rnacentral:lncRNA from 1 species
UUUUCUUUGGUAUUUAGAAGUACAUACACUUUCCAAAAACUUCAGUUCAAGAUAAUAAAGAAAUGCUAAAUUUAUUUUUCCAUAAAAAAACCAAGAUAUUGAUACUCCAGUAUGAGUAAAACAAUAAUUCAAUUAGGCGUUUUCAUUGGCAAUCACUUCACAUAAAAAUGGGGUCCCUUGAGGGGAAUAAAAAACUUUACAUUACCCUAAAAUGAUUGCAUCUAGGUUUUUAACUACACGUACAAGUUAAAACUAAAAAAAUAAGUUGCCAAACAACAGCCAAACACAGUUUCAUCAUACUUUUAGGUCAAGAACAUGAACUGCAGGUGCUCAUAAAUCAACAGAUUAUGGAUCAAAUAUUGCACCUCCUGCGUUCAUCUUCUCAUCCUACUGAGAUUUAGAUGAAAAAAUUUGGUAAAAGCCGUGCGGAAGACAGAUUACUUUCGUUACGAGGCGGUGAUAUUCGAAAAAAAAAACUAAUACCUCUUUGCUUUGUACACGACACGUGUCUAGUUUUUAGGGAGUAAAAAGCAAAGAAGGAGCCUAAUAGUUAUCCCCGUGUACUUAAUUUUAUUUAUAAGUAGCGGUAUAACCCAAAUUACCCGUGGUUGAAAUCAUUUGCCAAUGAAUUUCUCUAGUUAUGUAAUUGACAAUUUCUGUAGGUAUAAGUUAAGAAUCUAAGACCAAAAUCCAUCACUCUCUAAAAAAUUCCUUAUAUCAAUAAUCAUUUACAUUUCUCUAGGAAAUCACAUAAUUCAAUAAUGAAUUGUCAACACGAGCAAGUCAAGUAACGAAACGAUCCUAAUCAAAACCUAAAAAAAUGAACCAAUUCCACAACUUACAUUCAUACCAGAUCGCAAACAUAUAACAAUUCACACUUUCUUUGUGCAUACUACAACGUUCGAUCGCAUACUAAACAUGGAUCAUACUAACCUCUAAAACUUCAUAAUUUCCAAAGACAUCCAAACUUUCAAAAAGAGUGCUUGGAUUUCUUCUUUCUUUUGCUAACUUCAGAAUUCGUUUUCAAGAACAAUUCAUCUAUUAUCUGUCAACUAAUUUGAGUUUGUUGACAGCAAAGUGUCAAGUUCGCAAAAAAAAAAAAAAAAAAAAAAAAAAAAAAAAAAAAAAAAAAAACCUUCUACUUAAAACUGUUGAAACUCAUUAAAAAACAAAGAAUGAGCAAAAAAAUCAUUGAAAAACAGAUUGACAUGGUGUGA